rnacentral:rRNA from 1 species
GAUGUCGACUUGGAGGUUGUGCCCUUGAGGCGUGGCUUCCGGAGCUAACGCGUUAAGUCGACCGCCUGGGGAGUACGGCCGCAAGGUUAAAACUCAAAUGAAUUGACGGGGGCCCGCACAAGCGGUGGAGCAUGUGGUUUAAUUCGAUGCAACGCGAAGAACCUUACCUGGUCUUGACAUCCACAGAACUUUCCAGAGAUGGAUUGGUGCCUUCGGGAACUGUGAGACAGGUGCUGCAUGGCUGUCGUCAGCUCGUGUUGUGAAAUGUUGGGUUAAGUCCCGCAACGAGCGCAACCCUUAUCCUUUGUUGCCAGCGGUCCGGCCGGGAACUCAAAGGAGACUGCCAGUGAUAAACUGGAGGAAGGUGGGGAUGACGUCAAGUCAUCAUGGCCCUUACGACCAGGGCUACACACGUGCUACAAUGGCGCAUACAAAGAGAAGCGACCUCGCGAGAGCAAGCGGACCUCAUAAAGUGCGUCGUAGUCCGGAUUGGAGUCUGCAACUCGACUCCAUGAAGUCGGAAUCGCUAGUAAUCGUGGAUCAGAAUGCCACGGUGAAUACGUUCCCGGGCCUUG